AACGCGAAGAACCUUACCAGCCCUUGACAUGCCUCGUCCGGGUAGGGGAGACCCUAUUCUUCAGUUCGGCUGGCGGGGGACACAGGUGCUGCAUGGCUGUCGUCAGCUCGUGUCGUGAGAUGUUGGGUUAAGUCCCGCAACGAGCGCAACCCCCAUCUGCAGUUGCCAGCGGGUAGAGCCGGGCACUCUGCAGAAACUGCCGGUGACAAGCCGGAGGAAGGCGGGGAUGACGUCAAGUCCUCAUGGCCCUUAUGGGCUGGGCUACACACGUGCUACAAUGGCGGUGACAGAGGGCGGCGCGGCAGCGAUGCCUAGCCAAUCUCGAAAAGCCGUCUCAGUUCGGAUUGCUCUCUGCAACUCGGGAGCAUGAAGUCGGAAUCGCUAGUAAUCGCGGAUCAGCCAUGCCGCGGUGAAUACGUUCCCGGGCCUUGGUACACACCGACUGUAC
rnacentral:rRNA from 1 species